UCUCGCAGUCUCCCCAACCUCUCGCUCCCGAUCCCUCCUCUCGAUCUCGUGAGAAAAAUCACCGCCGCCGCCGCCGCCCCCACACUCCGCCGCCGCCGCCCCCACACUCGUAUGCCCCGAUGAACUGCCCAUCUCCAUUGUCGUCUGACGCCCGUCUCGGUCGCCGUCGUGCAUGCCGCCCUUGUACGAUCUGCUCGCCUCCGCCACCGCAACAGCCUGGGCCGAUCCCCUUAUUGAGCCCAUUUGAUGGCGACGCCAACCCAUCUUUUGGUGCUGCAUGCGGCGACAAUGGCGAACGAGAAGAAAUCAACGUAUGCCACCACCAUCGCCGGCUUGCAGGGACCAUUGACCGCAGGUUCGAGAUGAUGCACAACGAGGCGGCGAGGGCCACAAUGGUCAACAUCACUUCAAUCAUCAGGGAGCAAGCUUAUGGCAUCAAAAAAUCGCAUUAACUAUUGGUGGUGACUGACUGUGCGGUGCACGCAUCAGUGGCGCAUCCAAAUCCACUCCACUAAUAAAUUGUCCUCUCCAUUAUAAGAUUCGGUAAAUUUUGGCGGUGGUCACUGGUAUGCCGGGAAGCUUUCAGUUUGGAUCUUGUUGGCGAUUCUCCAUGUAGCCUUGUUGGUUCUGAAUCCAAAGUGCAUAGUAAUCCUGAAGAGUUUGACUCUUUGAAUCAGAGGAAACCAAGGCACACUCGGAUAUGUAUUGGUACAGGUGAAAUCUAUGAUGGUGAAAAAGAUUAACUGCAUCGAAUACAAAGUUCCGUAACAUAGCGUAUGUGCACAAGGAUGCCUUUAUCUGAUGGUGAACUACACCUCUUCCAAAAAACACUCCACCCAAAAGGAAGCCCUGUACUAUCUUGUUUCUGUCAUAGGUGAUGUUUUUAUUCCUUGUUCUGAUGGAAACAUGGCUAAUGUUUUUGAAGGACACCACAUGCAUGUCUAUUUAUGACCUUCCUAAUAUGAAUAUCGUUUCUUCUUGCCACCAUGGAUAUGCAUUAGUAUGACAUGGUUAGCUGGGCCGAACGUGAGAAGAAAAUAUAAAUAUUUGCAUACACACAGGGUUGUAGUGUAUAGCUCUCAUGUGAAUGCAGACGUUUGUUUUGACGAAUCGUGACUAUCGUGAGCAAGAAUGAACCCAGUAAAAUAAUUUAUUUAUUUUUGUUUGUUCCUUACGAUCCAAUCAACGGACCGGGUUCCACUAUCAGCAAAAUAAUUACUGAAGGUUAACUGAAAAGUCUAUAUCUUGCAACUGUAUGUUAAUGGGCUUCCACAUGGGUUCAUCAUUCCGAACCAACAUCAACUGUUGGGACUCUGGCAUAUAUUUCUCAUCAAUAUGGUCGCAAGGUAUAAUCCAUUCUCUUUCUGCUUUAAACUGUCUCAUGCAUACUCUGCCAUAUGUUGCCUAAUUAUUUCAUUUUGCUAGGCCAUAAAAGCUUUACUUGCUUUCUGAAUCUUACAUCCACCUUUUGUUGGCAUGAUUUGUGCAUAGUCUUUAGGCGCAACUGUUUAAAUAUUUUAUGUUUUAUUUGCUGAAGCACUACUAAUUUGUCUUUGGAUGGCAAUAGAUGAUGUGUGGAUGUGGGGCCUUCCUUUAUGCGAUGUUGGUUGGUACCUACACUUUCGAUCCAUAAGAUCACACGAAUUUUGAAAUGAAAACUGACAAGUCAGGUAAGUUGCCAGCCGUUCAACUUUGCAAUUCCACAAGUUAAUACUGAACUCAUAUUGCACAGAUUAUUAGGUGUUCAGUGUUCAAUUCCAGACUGUGCACGCAUAUCUAGACUCCGGAGUCGUUAUCUCAAGGAUCUUCUUUGCCAACAUGGGCUAUGAUCUCGACAUAGACAAUGGCGGAGAGAUAAUAUAUGCUCUGUAUCUUGUAAAUGUAUGUGCCGAAGUAGCUGCAGCCUUCCACCUUAUGAACAAGUUCUGUCAAUGGUCAGGAGGGGCGAGCCCAUCAAAGAUUAUGUUCAAGGCUACAACUUGAAUCGGAAUCUCUAUUGCUAUGUAAAUAUGUGGUUCGUGCCAAGAAAAUUCAGUUAGUUGUGUGAUUCUAUUUUUGGUGUUCCUUUCUGUUAAAAGUUAAAACCGAUGGAAACAUAUAUACAUCAUUUGUACAUGGCGAGCGUGGAGUGAAAAACAUCCAGAUGCCAGUCUGCCAGCCAGUCCAGAUUCUGAGCGGGGCAAGCGGGUGUGCGAGUGAGGAACGAUAUGGUUGAGUAUUCUGUGAGUAGCUCACUGGUUUUGCAUUCACUGCCAAUGGGUGGGUACAAACUUUUGGAUCAAGGUGUGUAAGACAUCAAUUAUCUAUGUUGACGUGAGCCACCCCAACCCCACGGCAGUGUUCUGGUCCAAGAGCCAAGUGCGGUAUGAGCUUGACGAGAGCUGCGACGUGGGCAUGGUACACUGCUGAUGCUGCCAGAGGAGGUUGUGCAGCAGUUGUGGUCGGGGCGGACACCAUCAUCAUAUGCGCAUGGUUGGUGUAUUCUUCCUUGGACUGUGAGGUUUGUAUUGGCAACUUUAAGGGAAAAUACGCUUUCGAACAUGGUGGUAAUUACACCUGGUUACAUAUCUUAUUUUUAAAAAUUUCAGAAAAAGUCAAAACAUUCCAAAACUUUUCCUAACAAACUUUCUGGCGUACAAAAAUGUUCUGCAACAAAACAUUCCCUA